UACAGAGGGUGCGAGCGUUGUCCGGAAUCACUGGGCGUAAAGGGGGCGUAGGCGGUCUCUUAAGCGUGUGGUGAAAGCCCGGGGCUCAACUCCGGGUCGGCCGUGCGAACUGGGGGACUGGAGCUUGUCAGAGGCAGGCGGAAUUCCGGGUGUAGCGGUGGAAUGCGUAGAGAUCCGGAAGAACACCGGUGGCGAAGGCGGCCUGCUGGGACAGUGCUGACGCUGAGGCGCGACAGCGGUGGGGAGCAAACAGG
rnacentral:rRNA from 1 species